UACGUAGGGGGCAAGCGUUGUCCGGAUUUAUUGGGCGUAAAGAGCGUGUAGGCGGCCAGGUAGGUGGGUUGUGAAAACUGGAGGCUCAACCUUCAGACGUCGACCCAAACCCCCUGGCUAGAGUCCGGGAAGAGGAGAGUGGAAUUCCUGGUGUAGCGGUGAAAUGCGCAGAUAUCAGGAAGAACACCCGUGGCGAAGGCGGCUCUCUGGGACGGUACUGACGCUGAGACGCGAAAGCGU
rnacentral:rRNA from 1 species